UAACGUAAGCGAAAGUUACGCUAAUACCGCAUACGAUCUAAGGAUGAAAGCGGGGGAUCGCAAGACCUCGCGCGAUUGGAGCGGCCGAUAUCAGAUUAGGUAGUUGGUGAGGUAAAGGCUCACCAAGCCGACGAUCUGUAGCUGGUCUGAGAGGACGACCCAGCCACACUGGGACUGAGACACGGCCCCAGACUCCUACGGGAGGCAGCAGUGGGGAAUUUUGGACAAUGGGCGCAAGCCUGAUCCAGCAAUGCCGCGUGCAGGAUGAAGGCCUUCGGGUUGUAAACUGCUUUUGUACGGAACGAAACGGUGAGCUCUAAUACAGUUUGCUAAUGACGGUACCGUAAGAAUAAGCACCGGCUAACUACGUG
rnacentral:rRNA from 1 species